AUUGAACGCUGGCGGCAGGCCUAACACAUGCAAGUCGAGCGGAUGAAGGGAGCUUGCUCCUGGAUUCAGCGGCGGACGGGUGAGUAAUGCCUAGGAAUCUGCCUGGUAGUGGGGGAUAACGUCCGGAAACGGGCGCUAAUACCGCAUACGUCCUGAGGGAGAAAGUGGGGGAUCUUCGGACCUCACGCUAUCAGAUGAGCCUAGGUCGGAUUAGCUAGUUGGUGGGGUAAAGGCCUACCAAGGCGACGAUCCGUAACUGGUCUGAGAGGAUGAUCAGUCACACUGGAGCGUGGACACGGUCCAGACUCCUACGGGAGGCAGCAGUGGGGAAUAUUGGACAAAGGGCGAAAGCCUGAUCCAGCCAUGCCGCGUGUGUGAAGAAGGUCUUCGGAUUGUAAAGCACUUUAAGUUGGGAGGAAGGGCAGUAAGUUAAUACCUUGCUGUAUUGACGUUACCAACAGAAUAAGCACCGGCUAACUUCGUG
rnacentral:rRNA from 1 species